UACGUAGGUGGCGAGCGUUAUCCGGAUUUACUGGGCGUAAAGCGCGCGCAGGCGGCUGUUCAAGUCCGAUGUGAAAUCUUCCGGCUUAACUGGAAAACGGCAUCGGAUACUGGACGGCUGGAAGGUGGGAGAGGGUAGCGGAAUUCCCGGUGUAGUGGUGAAAUGCGUAGAUAUCGGGAGGAACACCAGUGGCGAAAGCGGCUACCUGGCCCACUCUUGACGCUGAGGCGCGAAAGCUAGGGGAGCAAACGGG
rnacentral:rRNA from 2 species